rnacentral:rRNA from 1 species
CCUACGGGUGGCAGCAGUAGGGAAUAUUGCUCAAUGGGGGAAACCCUGAAGCAGCAACGCCGCGUGGAGGAUGAAGGUUUUCGGAUUGUAAACUCCUUUUGUUAGAGAAGAUAAUUACGGUAUCUAACGAAUAAGCACCGGCUACCUCCGUGCCAGCAGCCGCGGUCAUACGGAGGGUGCAAGCGUUACUCGGAAUCACUGGGCGUAACGAGCGCGUAGGCGGGAUAGCAAGUCAGAUGUGAAAUCCUAUGGCUUAACCAUAGAACUGCAUUUGAAACUGUUAUUCUAGAGUAUUGGAGAGGUAGGUGGAAUUCUUGGUGUAGGGGUAAAAUCCGUAGAGAUCAAGAGGAAUACUCAUUGCGAAGGCGACCUGCUAGAACAUAACUGACGCUGAUGCGCGAAAGCGUGGGGAGCAAACAGGAUUAGAUACCCCGGUAGUC